AGAUUGAACGCUGGCGGCAUGCUUUACACAUGCAAGUCGAACGGCAGCACGGGGGCAACCCUGGUGGCGAGUGGCGAACGGGUGAGUAAUACAUAGGAACGUAUCCUGAAAUGGGGGAUAGCUCGGCGAAAGCCGGAUUAAUACCGCAUACGAUCCACGGAUGAAAGCAGGGGAUUCGCAAGAACCUUGCGUUUCUGGAGCGGCCUAUGUCUGAUUAGCUAGUUGGCGGGUAAAAGCCCACCAAGGCGACGAUCAGUAGCUGGUCUGAGAGGAUGAUCAGCCACACUGGGACUGAGACACGGCCCAGACUCCUACGGGGAGCAGCAGU
rnacentral:rRNA from 1 species